GAAAAAUUUAGUUAAAAUUAUAACAUCAACUUGUCAAGUUGAAAUUAACUUAAACAUUAAUUUUU
rnacentral:tRNA from 1 species